rnacentral:rRNA from 1 species
GAUGAACGCUGGCGGUAUGCCUAACACAUGCAAGUCGAACGGCAGCACGGGAGCAAUCCUGGUGGCGAGUGGCGAACGGGUGAGUAAUAUAUCGGAACGUGCCCAGUCGUGGGGGAUAACGUAGCGAAAGCUACGCUAAUACCGCAUACGAUCUAUGGAUGAAAGCGGGGAUCGCAAGACCUCGCGCGAUUGGAGCGGCCGAUAUCAGAUUAGGUAGUUGGUGGGUAAAGGCUCACCAAGCCAACGAUCUGUAGCUGGUCUGAGAGGACGACCAGCCACACUGGAACUGAGACACGGUCCAGACUCCUACGGGAGGCAGCAGUGGGGAAUUUUGGACAAUGGACGCAAGUCUGAUCCAGCCAUUCCGCGUGCAGGAUGAAGGCCCUCGGGUGUAAC